CCUUCCUGCUACUUCAAGAUUUGGAUUUGCCACUUGUAGCAUUGGAAAAUUUGUAAAAUUGCCCAAUAAUGACGUGGUUUUGUUUUGUUUUUUGUUUUUUUUUGUUUUGUUUUAGUGAAACGUAGGAAAGUAAUUUUUCAGUGAUGAAUUUGGAUCAUUUCCAAAGUGAUACGAAUAAAGCCCCCCAGAAGACGACCUGAUAAAUGGAUCAAUUCAUGGAUUUUUAGACCCAAGUGUCCAUCCUCAUAACAGUGGCUGACACCUCCAAGAACCUCUUCAUACAGGAAAGAGCCUCACCCUUGUGGUUCUACCUGGGGAUGACUUCAUGGACAUUGUUGAAAGUUCUCUAAGGCCAGACUGCCCAGUGCAUAAACUACAAAAGGAUAAAAAUAUGGCUGUAAAAGGCAUCAUGGUCACUGGUUACUCCAUAAGAUCCCAAAAAGCUGUGGUUGUAGCUUCCCUCAGGUAGUCUUAGGACUUACCAUGAUGUUAGACUAUUCCAACCCUAUUUAAGAAUGUUGUCAAGGUGACUUACAACAUUUGAUCUCAAUAAAGUACUUUUACAAUUUUA